AGGGGAUAGCAAUAUUCUUGAAAGUGGCGCACGGGUGAGUAAUACGUAGGUAACCUGCCCUGGAGUGGGGGAUAACAACUGGAAACGGUUGCUAAUACCGCAUGAAGCCAAGACACUGGGAAGUGACUUGGUAAAAGCUCUGGUGCUUCAGGAGGGGCCUACGGCCGAUUAGCUAGUUGGCGGGGUAAGAGCCCACCAAGGCAGUGAUCGGUAGCUGGUCUGAGAGGACGAUCAGCCACACGGGAACUGAGACACGGUCCCGACUCCUACGGGGGGCAGCAGUGAGGAAUAUUGGGCAAUGGGCGCAAGCCUGACCCAGCAACGCCGCGUGGAGGAAGACGGCCUUCGGGUUGUAAACUCCUUUUACGGGGGAAGAGGAAGGACGGUACCCCGAGAAUAAGUCACGGCUAACUACGUGCCAGCAGCCGCGGUAAUACGUAGGUGACAAGCGUUAUCCGGAAUUACUGGGCGUAAAGCGCACGCAGGCGGCGUGGUAAGUCUGAUGUGAAAUCUCCCGGCUUAACUGGGAGGGGUCAUUGGAAACUGCCGUGCUCGAGGCGGUGAGAGGGGUGUAGAAUUCCCGGUGUAGUGGUGGAAUGCGUAGAUAUCGGGAGGAAUACCAGUGGCGAAAGCGGCACCCUGGCACUAGCCUGACGCUCAUGUGCGAAGGCGUGGGGAGCGAACGGGAUUAGAUACCCCGGUAGUCCACGCGGUAAACGAUGAAUACUAGGUGUGGGUGGAGUGAAAUCCAUCUGUGCCGAA
rnacentral:rRNA from 1 species